ACACACGAAGGACUACUUACUCGUGAGUGAUGAUGUGCAAUCUGAAACCUGUUGAAAUGGAGUACCAUCUCAUCACAAACUAGAAACUCCAGGAUUCGUUUUAUUCCAUGUUGAUCAACACACAGAACGCUUGCUAGCCCUAUCCAGAGAAGCAGGGAAAGACUGGAAGAAAUGGACAGAAGAUAGCUGCCAUUCUGAAUAUGUACAGCCAGGAGGGAACAUCCCAAUACCCUGCAGCCAUCGAGAACAGCAGCCAUCAUCUGUCAUUGAUGACGAUGGAGAUGUAGCUGCUGUGCCAUUCCAUCCAGGAAGAGUCUACGUGGUCCUUGAGGAGAACGUGGUUACGAAGGAUUUCCGGUGCUGGCCUAAUGCACUUGUAUGUUUGUACGGGCUAAUGUACUCACUCCAACAUGGAUACCCGAAUUGCACGAAGAACACGUUUGGGUUUAUACAAAAGGUGUUGUUAAACUUGGAUGGAGACAGAAUCAACUGUAAAAUACCAAUACCAAAAACAUUUAUGGCGCUAAACAAUUGUAAAUAGUUACGUUAUCCUAUAAGGAAAAGAGAUUUAGGGAUAAAAAUAAAAAAACAACUGAAGAAGACGAAAUGUUUUGUAGGCAAAUGCCAACUAAAAUGUCUGCCUGCAUUUGAUUUGAUCUGUGCCUUUAGUCAAACCGGUCACAGAGAUACAGAGAUACAAGAGUAACUUGACUUCAGUUGGUGUAGAGUUUAAUUGAAAGUGUUUCUGUUUGGGAAUCCUGAACAUGGUCGUUGGGAAGUUACCUUACAAAUCCUUGUAUAUAUGACGCUUUAGAAGCAAUGGACACAAAUCUCACAUUGCUGACGUCAUCAUAUGAAAAAUGGCCGAGGUCCCAGAGGAUAAAAAUGGAUGGGGAAUCUUCAUGGAGUUGAAAGGAGAGGUCGUUUGCAUACCUGUGUAGUGUUGUGGACCGGUACAUAUAAGAAGGUUGGGGAAACAACGUUCGCACACACUGUCUACUUGCAUUUAGGACGUUUAUUUGUCAGUUUAAUGAUUUGGCGUGACACCUUAGUCAGGAAUGAAGGUUCAGAACCGAAACAUUGCGUGUAUAAGGACAUUUUACAAUCUGCAAGUAUUACUUUGUUUUGUAAACAUAAUGGAUUGAAAAUUGUCGUGGAGGAAGAUAUGUAAAUUGUCAAGAUUAAUCUUCAUUUUAAACAGUUGAAUGUAGUGAAGUUGUUAGAAUGUGAAAUGGAUGUCGCACAUCACUACCUCAUUUUAUUUUAAAUUUUAAAUUGAAUGGAAGCUACCACAUCAGUUGAAAGUGUUAAUUGGAGAAGGGUCAUUAUACUGUGCUUAUGUUUUAAUAGUUAAGUUGUUGAUGGGGAAUGUUGCAGUGUUACACAGUAUUGAAUUGAUUGAAAGUUGGAGGUUUGUUAUCGGAGUUUUUUAAAGUUCUGUUCAAAUGAGUCAUGCUGUACAGAAAUGGCAUUCAUCUAUUGAUGGAUGCUAAAAUAGAUGAAUCAUGUUUGGUGCAUUCGUGUAAUUAGAGAUGUGUUUCUGAAAGACGCAGUGUUUUAAAGAAAAUGUAUUUUUAUUUUUUAAGAAAAAACUGUUGUAAAGCUAACUUGCUUUAGACUAGUUGACUGAAAGAAAGAACUUGGAUUUUAAGAGUAGUUUUUGACUUAAUGUUGAUGUGCAGCUGGUUUCCACAAAUUAUUUGAGUUACUUAACAAAAAAUAUCAAGUUACACACACUAACAAAUAUUGUGCCCUGUUUACUUAAAAAAAAUUUAGGUAGCUAUUUGCAUCAGCCUUUUAAGUAUAAUAUACACUUCACUUUUAGUGCAUUACAAACUCAAAUAUAUUAAGUGCAAACAACUAACAGGAUCUCAACAAUUCCUUUCAUUCAACUUAAUUUUAUCAGGUUCAGAAUGUUUUUUGUUUGUUUGACCUGCUCAAGUCCUUCAAGUCCUAGAACUAAUGUUAAGUUUGAUAUACUUAAUGUAAUCAGUUACAGAACCAAUAUUGUACGUUUAAUUUGCUGCAUUUAUUCAGUAUCAUAAUUGAUAUUCUAUGUUUAAUCUACAAAUGUUUGCUCAGUUACUUAUGGUACUCAGGUUAGUCAAAUGCAUUUAAAUUGGGUUCCUACUACUCAAAUAUACUCACAACUAUACUUAAAAAGCUGAUGCAAAUAGUUACCUCAAUAUACUCAACAUACUUGGGAUAAUUUACUAAAAAUUGUUAUUUAUAUACAAGGGAAUAUGCACAAAAAAACAACAGUGUUCAACUUCAAACUUCACCUUUGUUUUGAAUGAAUGUUUUCUUCAAACUUCAAUCUUAAAUUGCCCCUUAAACCCUACUCCUUUAGCAUUAUUUUGUAAUCUGUAAGAAUUCUGGGAAAACGCCACCUUGCCUCAUUAGGUAAAGUUACAUCCAGAUAGCCUGCACCUGACUACAAAUCAUUUCAGAUCUUCACAAUUGCAUUACGUUUAGGUGAUAGAUUGGGAUUAGCACUUUGACCUCACAUCUUGUACAGUUUGGAAAGAAUUCUCUGGUGGUCUGUGUGCCCCUUAACAA